UACGGAGGGAGCUAGCGUUGUUCGGAAUUACUGGGCGUAAAGCGCACGUAGGCGGAUCAGUUAGUCGGGGGUGAAAUCCCGGGGCUCAACCCCGGAACUGCCUUCGAUACUGCUGGUCUGGAGGACGGGAGAGGCGAGUGGAAUUCCGAGUGUAGAGGUGAAAUUCGUAGAUAUUCGGAGGAACACCAGUGGCGAAGGCGGCUCGCUGGCCCGUUUCUGACGCUGAGGUGCGAAAGCGUGGGGAGCAAACAGG
rnacentral:rRNA from 1 species